GUCCAGUCACAGGUAAGGUUUCAAACAC
rnacentral:piRNA from 1 species